CGUAGGGUGCGAGCGUUAAUCGGAAUUACUGGGCGUAAAGCGUGCGCAGGCGGUUUGUUAAGAUAGGCGUGAAAUCCCCGGGCUCAACCUGGGAACUGCGCUUAUGACUGGCAAGCUAGAGUACGGCAGAGGGGGGUGGAAUUCCACGUGUAGCAGUGAAAUGCGUAGAGAUGUGGAGGAACACCAAUGGCGAAGGCAGCCCCCUGGGUCGAUACUGACGCUCAUGCACGAAAGCGUGGGUAGCAAACAGGAUUAGAUACCCUGGUAGUCCACGCCAUAAACGAUGAGAACUGGAUGUCGGGAGGGUCUGCCUCUCGGUGUCGUAGCUAACGCGUUAAGUUCUCCGCCUGGGGAGUACGGCCGCAAGGUUG
rnacentral:rRNA from 1 species